CAGUAGCCGCGGGAACACGAAGGGUGCAAGCGUUACUCGGAAUUACUGGGCGUAAAGCGUGCGUAGGUGGUGGUUUAAGUCCGUUGUGAAAGCCCUGGGCUCAACCUGGGAAUUGCAGUGGAUACUGGAUCACUAGAGUGUGGUAGAGGAUAGUGGAAUUUCCGGUGUAGCAGUGAAAUGCGUAGAGAUCGGAAGGAACAUCUGUGGCGAAGGCGACUAUCUGGGCCAACACUGACACUGAGGCACGAAAGCGUGGGGAGCAAACAGGAUUAGAGACCCCCGUAGUCCCUGUCUCUUAUAC
rnacentral:rRNA from 1 species